rnacentral:rRNA from 1 species
UACGUAGGUGGCAAGCGUUGUCCGGAUUUACUGGGCGUAAAGCGCACGUAGGCGGAUUGUUAAGUCGGGGGUGAAAUCCUGGAGCUCAACUCCAGAACUGCCUUCGAUACUGGCGAUCUCGAGUUCGGGAGAGGUGAGUGGAACUGCGAGUGUAGAGGUGAAAUUCGUAGAUAUUCGCAAGAACACCAGUGGCGAAGGCGGCUCACUGGCCCGAUACUGACGCUGAGGUGCGAAAGCGUGGGGAGCAAACAGG